CGCGGCCUAUCAGCUUGUUGGUGAGGUUAUGGCUUACCAAGGCGACGACGGGUAGCCGGCCUGAGAGGGUGUCCGGCCACACUGGGACUGAGAUACGGCCCAGACUCCUACGGGAGGCAGCAGUGGGGAAUAUUGCACAAUGGGCGCAAGCCUGAUGCAGCGACGCCGCGUGAGGGAUGACGCCCUUCGGGUUGUAAACCUCUUUCAGUACAGACGAAGCGUAAGUGACGGUAUGUACAGAAGAAGCACCGGCCAACUACGUGCCAGCAGCCGCGGUAAUACGUAGGGUGCGAGCGUUGUCCGGAAUUACUGGGCGUAAAGAGCUCGUAGGUGGUUUGUCGCGUUGUUCGUGAAAACCUGAGGCUUAACCUUGGGCGUGCCGGCGAUACGGGCAGACUGGAGUACUGCAGGGGAGACUGGAAUUCCUGGUGUAGCGGUGGAAUGCGCAGAUAUCAGGAGGAACACCGGUGGCGAAGGCGGGUCUCUGGGCAGUAACUGACGCUGAGGAGCGAAAGCGUGGGGAGCGAACAGGAUUAGACCCUGGUAGUCCACGCCGUAAACGGUGGGUACUAGGUGUGGGUUUCCUUCCUUGGGAUCCGUGCCGUAGCUAACGCAUUAAGUACCCCGCCUGGGGAGUACGG
rnacentral:rRNA from 1 species